CCUAUGAAAAUAAGCGAUAUUUUAGGGGAAAAACAGGGAUUUCCGUGAAAAGAAGCGAUAUAUUAGGGGAAAAACAGGGAUUUCUAUGAAAAUAAGCGAUAUUUUAGGGGAAAAACAGGGAUUUCUAUGAAAAUAAGCGAUAUUUUAGGGUUAAAAACAGGGAUUUCUAUGAAAAUAAGCGAUAUUUUAUGGGAAAAACAGGGAUUCCUAUGAAAAUAAGCGAUAUUUUAGGGAAAAAACAGGGAUUUCUAUGAAAAUAAGCGAUAUUUUAGUGGGAAAAACAGGGAUUUCUGUGAAAAUAAGCAAUAUUUUAGGGUUAAAAACAGGAUUUCUAUGAAAAUAAGCGAUAUUUUAGGGUUAAAAACAGGGAUUUCUAUGAAAAUAAGCGAUAUUUUAGGGUUAAAAACAGGGAUUUCCAUGAAAAUAAGCGAUAUUUUAGGGGAAAAACAGGGAUUUCUAUGAAAAUCAGCGAUAUUUUAGGGGAAAAACAGGGAUUUCUGUGAAAAUAAGUGAUAUUUUAGGGUUAAAAACAGGGAUUUCCAUGAAAAUAAGCGAUAUUUUAGGGUUAAAAACAGGGAUUUCUAUGAAAAUAAGCGAUAUUUUAUGUUAAAAACAGGGAUUUCUAUGAAAAUAAGCGAUAUUUUAGGGUUAAAAACAGGGAUUUCUAUGAAAAUAAGCGAUAUUUUAUGUUAAAAACAGGGAUUUCUAUGAAAAUAAGCGAUAUUUUAGGGUUAAAAACAGGGAUUUCCAUGAAAAUAAGCGAUAUUUUAUGUUAAAAACAGGGAUUUCUAUGAAAAUAAGCGAUAUUUUAUGUUAAAAACAGGGAUUUCUAUGAAAAUAAGCGAUAUUUUAGGGGAAAAACAGGGAUUUCUAUGAAAAUAAGCGAUAUUUUAGGGUUAAAAACAGGGAUUUCCGUAUGAAAAUAAGCGAUAUUGAGGUUAAAAACAGGGAUUUCUAUGAAAAUAAGCGAUAUUUUAGGGGGAAAAACAGGGAUUUCCAUGAAAAUAAGCGAUAUUUUAGGGUUAAAAACAGGGAUUUCUAUGAAAAUAAGCGAUAUUUUAGGGUUAAAAACAGGGAUUUCUAUGAAAAUAAGCGAUAUUUUAGGGUUAAAAACAGGGAUUUCUAUGAAAAUAAGCGAUAUUUUAGGGUUAAAAACAGGGAUUUCUAUGAAAAUAAGCGAUAUUUUAGGGGAAAAACAGGGAUUUCUAUGAAAAUAAGCGAUAUUUUAUGUUAAAAACAGGGAUUUCUAUGAAAAUAAGCGAUAUUUUAGGGUUAAAAACAGGGAUUUCUAUGAAAAUCAGCGAUAUUUUAGGGUUAAAAACAGGGAUUUCUGUGAAAAUAAGCGAUAUUUUAGGGGAAAAACAGGGAUUUCCAUGAAAAUCAGCAAUAUUUUAGGGGAAAAACAGGGAUUUCUAUGAAAAUAAGCGAUAUUUUAGGGUUAAAAACAGGGAUUUCUAUGAAAAUCAGCGAUAUUUUAGGGUUAAAAACAGGGAUUUCUAUGAAAAUAAGCGAUAUUUUAGGGUUAAAAACAGGGAUUUCUAUGAAAAUAAGCGAUAUUUUAUGUUAAAAACAGGGAUUUCUAUGAAAAUAAGCGAUAUUUUAGGGGAAAAACAGGGAUUUCUAUGAAAAUAAGCGAUAUUUUAGGGUUAAAAACAGGGAUUUCUAUGAAAAUAAGCGAUAUUUUAGGGUUAAAAACAGGGAUUUCCAUGAAAAUAAGCGAUAUUUUAGGGUUAAAAACAGGGAUUUCUAUGAAAAUAAGCGAUAUUUUAGGGGAAAAAACAGGGAUUUCUAUGAAAAUAAGCGAUAUUUUAGGGUUAAAAACAGGGAUUUCCAUGAAAAUAAGCGAUAUUUUAGGGUUAAAAACAGGGAUUUCUAUGAAAAUAAGCGAUAUUUUAGGGUUAAAAACAGGGAUUUCUAUGAAAAUAAGCGAUAUUUUAGGGUUAAAAACAGGGAUUUCUAUGAAAAUAAGCGAUAUUUUAGGGGAAAAACAGGGAUUUCUAUGAAAAUAAGCGAUAUUUUAGGGUUAAAAACAGGGAUUUCUGUGAAAAUAAGCGAUAUUUUAGGGUUAAAAACAGGGAUUUCUAUGAAAAUAAGCAAUAUUUUAUGUUAAAAACAGGGAUUUCUAUGAAAAUAAGCGAUAUUUUAGGGUUAAAAACAGGGAUUUCUAUGAAAAUAAGCGAUAUUUUAGGGGAAAAACAGGGAUUUCUAUGAAAAUAAGCGAUAUUUUAGGGGAAAAAACAGGGAUUUCCAUGAAAAUAAGCGAUAUUUUAGGGUUAAAAACAGGGAUUUCUAUGAAAAUAAGCGAUAUUUUAGGGUUAAAAACAGGGAUUUCUAUGAAAAUAAGCGAUAUUUUAUGUUAAAAACAGGGAUUUCCGUGAAAAUAAGCGAUAUUUUAGGUUAAAAACAGGGAUUUCUAUGAAAAUAAGCGAUAUUUUAGGGGAAAAACAGGGAUUUCUAUGAAAAUAAGCGAUAUUUUAGGGUUAAAAACAGGGAUUUCCAUGAAAAUAAGCGAUAUUUUAGGGUUAAAAACAGGGAUUUCUAUGAAAAUAAGCGAUAUUUUAGGGGUUAAAAACAGGGAUUUCUGUGAAAAUAAGCGAUAUUUUAGGGUUAAAAACAGGGAUUUCCAUGAAAAUAAGCGAUAUUUUAGGGGAAAAACAGGGAUUUCUAUGAAAAUAAGCGAUAUUUUAGGGGAAAAACAGGGAUUUCUAUGAAAAUAAGCGAUAUUUUAUGUUAAAAACAGGGAUUUCCAUGAAAAUAAGCGAUAUUUUAGGGGAAAAACAGGGAUUUCCGUGAAAAUAAGCGAUAUUUUAGGGUUAAAAACAGGGAUUUCUAUGAAAAUAAGCGAUAUUUUAGGGUUAAAAACAGGGAUUUCUAUGAAAAUAAGCGAUAUUUUACGUUAAAAACAGGGAUUUCCUAUGAAAAUAAGCGAUAUUUUAGGGUUAAAAACAGGGAUUUCUAUGAAAAUAAGCGAUAUUUUAGGGUUAAAAACAGGGAUUUCUAUGAAAAUAAGCGAUAUUUUAGGGUUAAAAACAGGGAUUUCUAUGAAAAUAA